rnacentral:lncRNA from 1 species
UAGAUAUGAUCAUGCUUCACUAUAGAAAACAUUUUAAUACCUAUAUUUAUUCCAUGACACAGUGCAGUAUAUAUGCAAACUAAAAAUCACUCUAAAAAUAAAUUAAGUCAAGAAAUCAUUCCAUUGUAUUUUUCUCAAUGUCUAAUAACUCCCUAGAAAAUUAUCCAUUUCAUUUGUACAUACAAAUUUAGUUGUACCAAAGAACAUAGAUUUCUGAUUAAAUGAUAUACGGAAACAUCUGUACUUGUUCAGUCCCCACCCCUGGCCUGCCCCAUGAUGAGGCCAGAUCCUCAGCCUCACAAUUUUUUCUAGAAUACUCAGACGCCAUUGGGUGCUCACAUGUACAUAGUUCUUCAUUUUCAGCCUCAGCCUGUGGAUUCUUCACUUCCUCUGAACAUCUUUAAACCUUGAGCACUACCUUUCUGGUUUUUUUCUCCAAUUCUCCAGUCUUUAGCAGGAUGGCUGUUUGAGUCACACAGUUUACCAUUAGGAGAAUAAACUUCUCCUUGUCUUUUCACAUAUUAAAGCAAAAGCAGAGGAAGCAGUAAGGCAAGGCACAAGGACAGCACCUUUGUCACACGAAGUUUGAAUGAAAAAAAAAACAUCAUUUGAUUUCUUCAGCAUAAUCAGGAGUCCUGUUUGAUCUGGGCCUAUAAAAAGAAUGUCCUCUGCAGCUUAGAUUGCAGUGUUCUCUCAAUGACACGUAAGUCACACCACACCUGAGUUGACAUCCCCAGGUUUAUUUGGGGAUGGGGGGCGUGGUGGAAGGGGUGGUUUUAGUCUAACCAAUUAGCGAGGAGUGCUAAACUCUUCAAGUAUGUUUAUGGAUAAUUUCUGGAUUUGUUUCGGAGCUAAUUAUCCACAGUCUUUAUGAAAGUGAGGUUAAGCAUGGUGGCCAUGAAACAUACACUAACUAGAGGACUGGCCAUGAGGCUGUCACACUGGAAGGGGUGGACAAGGACCUAAGCUAUUCUUUAAUUCCUUUUUUACAAGAUGGAAGCAUAACUGGGUGGGAUCUUGCCUUGAGGUCACGGCUCCAUUUAUCAUUUAAUGUCUUUAAUCUGUUUAUCUCCUUGAACAUGAAAUUUAGCUCAAUUCUGCUUCCUGGUGCCCCUUUUCUCCUUGAUCUCUACAUUUUGUAUUUUUCCUUGCUCAGCGUGCUUCUUCUCAGCAGUACACGCUUCAUAAGGGUAAACAUUAGUAACCACAAAAUGGAGUCUAAACUAGGCUGUUUUGAGAUUUCCUUUACCAAUGCAAUUAAUUCAAAAUUCCUCACUUUGGCCUCAGGCAGAAUUUUUGGACAAUGGCAAAAUGCAGGCAAAUUCUUUGCCAAACUAUCACAAGAAUAGUCUCUAGGCCAUUAAUAGUCUUCUCUAAAACCUCCUGGGUCAGGCGCUCUACAGUUCAAAUCACUGUCAGCACCACUUUCUUCCAUGUUCCUAUUAGAUGGCCCAUUAAACACCACUUAAUGUGUGCAAAUGCUUUUCUAACCCAAAAUCCAAGGACCCACAUUCUUCCAAACAAAAGCAUGCUCAGGCCUUUCACAGCAAUAUCACAGUUCCUGGUACCAACUUUUGUCUUAGGGUUUCUAUUGCUAUGACCACAUUGCAUUAUGACCACAGCAACUUUUAUAAAGAAAAACAUUUAAUUGGGACUGGCUUGAGGUCUAGUCUAUUAUUGCCAUGGCAAGAAACAAGGCAGUAUGCAGAUAGACACAGCCCUGGAGAAGGAGUUGAGAGUUCCUACAUCUUGAUCCGCAAGCAGCAGGAGACUGUGUGUCACACUGGGCAAAGCCUGAGCUUAUGAGACCUCAAAGCUGUCCCCAACUGUGGCAUACGUCCUCUAACAAGGUAACAUCUUCUAAUAGUCCCACUCCCUAUGGGCCCACAGGUAGGCAGAAGGCCUGAGUAGCAGUCCAGUGUGUGCCUGCCAAACAGUUCUACCUCUGGGACGUGAGUGAGAGCAGUUCCACGUUGACACUGAUAAUCACUACACUCACAAACGUUAGAAUACAAACCAUCAUCUUGUAUGACAGCACCGCAGGACCCAAAUGGAUCUUUGGACUUUCACAUAGUCUCUCAAGCAAUGCCUGGGGUAUGUGCUGGGAGAAGGACAGUAUAGCGAUACACAACACUAGGUAAAGAAAGUGGCAAAGCGUCAUCUAAGCUCUAGAAGUGGAGGGCCUAGGAAAUUAUUCUGGCUCCGUGAAACUCAACAGCAAGAGCUAAACUGCAGGUAGAUGUGUGUCAUCUAUUCAUAUGAAUGUUCCCAAUUUUUAAAGACCUCUCUUUCAGAGUAAAGAACAAAUAGUUUUCUUAGUUCCUACCAGUGUUUGGUUAAUUUAAAAAUACUGACUGACUGAAUGCUCUCCUAGAGAGAAUGUAGUUGAAUCCAUAGGCUUUUGGUAAGUCACUAAAGGUCUAUAGUUCUGCAAAAGACAAAGUUUAAAUACUCUAACCACACCCACUGUUCAGUAAUCAGUUUAUAGUCUCUUCCCUUUUACUCUAAGCCAUUAAUCUUAGUUCAAGAGGUUGUGCAAAUUUACUCUGGGUUUCUUGCCAAUGAUGCCUUCAUACUAUAUGUAUUUUAUAUAUUGUUUUAAAAAUUGGUUGUUAUAUACCUUUAAUCCUGGUUUUAAAAAAGAUCUGUAAUGAAUGUCUGUAAAGGUCUUUAUAGAACCACUCAAGUCAUGAACAUUCAGUUUUCACAGUAUGUACAUUUUGUAAGUUGACAAAUUAAGAAGGCUGAUAUAUUUGUUUGGGUAGACUUUAUUUACAUACAUUUUAAUCAUAAGCAAAGUCAUUAUCUACAAGUUGAAACAAUGUACUCCCUUUAACUUAAGGCACUGCAAACUUCCUUAUAGCACACUCACUAUAUUUACAUGCUGUUUGAGAACUGACAAUAAAUACAUACUCUACACC